rnacentral:rRNA from 1 species
AUAUUGGUCAAUGGGCGAGAGCCUGAACCAGCCAAGUAGCGUGCAGGAUGACGGCCCUAUGGGUUGUAAACUGCUUUUAUAAGGGAAUAAAGUGAGUCUCGUGAGACUUUUUGCAUGUACCUUAUGAAUAAGGACCGGCUAAUUCCGUGCCAGCAGCCGCGGUAAUACGGAAGGUCCGGGCGUUAUCCGGAUUUAUUGGGUUUAAAGGGAGCGUAGGCCGGAGAUUAAGCGUGUUGUGAAAUGUAGUGGCUCAACCUCUGCACUGCAGCGCGAACUGGUCUUCUUGAGUACGCACAACGUGGGCGGAAUUCGUGGUGUAGCGGUGAAAUGCUUAGAUAUCACGAAGAACUCCGAUUGCGAAGGCAGCUCACGGGAGCGCAACUGACGCUGAAGCUCGAAAGUGCGGGUAUCGAACAGGAUUAGAUACCCUGGUAGUCCGCACGGUAAACGAUGGAUGCCCGCUGUUGGCCUGAAUAGGUCAGCGGCCAAGCGAAAGCAUUAAGCAUCCCACCUGGGGAGUACGCCGGCAACGGUGAAACUCAAAGGAAUUGACGGGGGCCCGCACAAGCGGAGGAACAUGUGGUUUAAUUCGAUGAUACGCGAGGAACCUUACCCGGGCUUGAAUUGCAGAGGAAGGAUUUGGAGACAAUGACGCCCUUCGGGGUCUCUGUGAAGGUGCUGCAUGGUUGUCGUCAGCUCGUGCCGUGAGGUGUCGGCUUAAGUGCCAUAACGAGCGCAACCCCUCUCCUCAGUUGCCAUCAGGUCAAGCUGGGCACUCUGGGGACACUGCCACCGUAAGGUGUGAGGAAGGUGGGGAUGACGUCAAAUCAGCACGGCCCUUACGUCCGGGGCUACACACGUGUUACAAUGGCAGGUACAGAGAGACGGUCGUUCGCAAGUACGAUCAAAUCCUUAAAGCCUGUCUCAGUUCGGACUGGGGUCUGCAACCCGACCCCACGAAGCUGGAUUCGCUAGUAAUCGCGCAUCAGCCAUGGCGCGGUGAAUACGUUCCCGGGCCUUGUACACACCGCCCGUCAAGCCAUGAAAGCCGGGGGCGCCUGAAGUCCGUGACCGUAAGGAGCGGCCUAGGGCGAAACUGGUAAUUGGGGCUAAGUCGUAACAAGGUAGCCGUACC